CUUGAACGCCGGCGGCAUGCCUUACACAUGCAAGUCGAACGGCAGCGGGGGAGAAGCUUGCUUUUCCUGCCGGCGAGUGGCGAACGGGUGAGUAAUACAUCGGAACGUGCCCUGUAGCGGGGGAUCACCAGUCGAAAGAUUAGCUAAUACCGCAUACGACCUGAGGGCGAAAGUGGGGGACCGCAAGGCCUCAAGCUAUAGGAGCGGCCGAGGUCGGAUUAGGUAGUUGGAGGGGUAACGGCUCACCAAGCCAACGAUCUGUGGCUGGUCUGAUGCGACGACCGCCCACACUGGAACGGAGGCACGGCCCAGACUCCUACGAGGGGCAGCAGUGGAGAAUUUUGGACAAUGGACGCAAGUCUGAUCCAGCCAUGCCGCGUGCAGGAUGAAGGCCCUCGGGUUGUAAACUGCUUUUGUACGGAACGAAAAGGUCUCUCUUAAUACGGGGGGCUCAUGACGGUACCGUAAGAAUAAGCACCGGCUAACUACGUGCCAGCCGCCGCCGUAA
rnacentral:rRNA from 1 species